AAGGAUUUAAGUUAAAAUAAACUAUCAACCUUCAAAGUUGAAAAUAAAUUAAUUUUAAGCCUUAGG
rnacentral:tRNA from 1 species